AGGACGAACGCUGGCGGCGUGCUUAACACAUGCAAGUCGAACGAUAAGGCCCUUCGGGGUACACGAGUGGCGAACGGGUGAGUAACACGUGGGUGAUCUGCCCUGCACUUCGGGAUAAGCCUGGGAAACUGGGUCUAAUACCGGAUAGGACUCCUGGCUUCAUGGUUGGGGGUGUAAAGCUUUUGCGGUGUGGGAUGGGCCCGCGGCCUAUCAGCUUGUUGGUGGGGUAAUGGCCUACCAAGGCGACGACGGGUAGCCGACCUGAGAGGGUGACCGGCCACACUGGGACUGAGAUACGGCCCAGACUCCUACGGGAGGCAGCAGUGGGGAAUAUUGCACAAUGGGCGCAAGCCUGAUGCAGCGACGCCGCGUGAGGGAUGACGGCCUUCGGGUUGUAAACCUCUUUCAAUAGGGACGAAGCGCAAGUGACGGUACCUAUAGAAGAAGGACCGGCCAACUACGUG
rnacentral:rRNA from 1 species